rnacentral:tRNA from 1 species
UGCGGGCGCGGACCGCAGAAUUUAGUUCAAGUCUUUUUGUGGCUUGGGCCGUGGCUGGUGCAAGUCUGGGGAUUGCGGCCA